rnacentral:rRNA from 1 species
UUCUAUUAGAAUUAAUUAAUAGUAUAAUCUGCUCAAUGAUAUUAAAUAGCCGCUAUUACUGUGCUAAGGUAGCAUAAUCAUUUGUCUUUUAAUUGAAGACUAGAACAAAAGAUUUAACAAUUUAAUUAAUAUACAAAAUUAUUAAUUUAAAUUUAUUUUAAAUGUAAAAAAACAUUUAUAUAUUAGGAAGACGACAAGACCCUAUUAAACUUAACUUAAGUUAAACUGGGGCAGUUAAUCAAUUAUUAUUUUAAUAAAAAUAAUAGCAUAAAAGAUCCAACACAAUUGAUUAAAUAAAUAAGUUACUAUAGGGAUAACAGCGCAAUAUUUAUUUAAAGAUCUCAUUUAAAUAAAAGAUUACGACCUCGAUGUUGAAUUAAUAACCUAAAAUUAUUGCAGUAAAUAAAUAAAGGAAGUCCGUUCGACUUUUAAAAAAUUACA